AACGAACGCUGGCGGCAUGCCUAACACAUGCAAGUCGAACGAAGCCUUCGGGCUUAGUGGCGCACGGGUGCGUAACGCGUGUGAAUCUGCCCUUGGGUUCGGAAUCACAGUUAGAAAUGACUGCUAAUACCGGCUGAUGUCUUCGGACCAAAGAUUUAUCGCCCAAGGAUGAGCCCGCGUAGGAUUAGGUAGUUGGUGGGGUAAUGGCCCACCAAGCCGACGAUCCUUAGCUGGUCUGAGAGGAUGAUCAGCCACACUGGGACUGAGACACGGCCCAGACUCCUACGGGAGGCAGCAGUGGGGAAUAUUGGACAAUGGGCGAAAGCCUGAUCCAGCAAUGCCGCGUGAGUGAUGAAGGCCUUAGGGUUGUAAAGCUCUUUUACCAGGGAUGAUAAUGACAGUACCUGGAGAAUAAGCUCCGGCUAACUCCGUGCCAGCCGCCGCGGUAA
rnacentral:rRNA from 1 species